rnacentral:tRNA from 2 species
GGGGAUAUAGCUCAACUGGGAGAGCGCAGCGUUCGCAUCGCUGAGGUUGGGGGUUCGAGCCCCCCUAUCUCCACCA